rnacentral:rRNA from 1 species
GACGAACGCUGGCGGCGUGCCUAAUACAUGCAAGUAGAACGCUGAAGGAGGAGCUUGCUCUUCUGGAUGAGUUGCGAACGGGUGAGUAACGCGUAGGUAACCUGCCUGGUAGCGGGGGAUAACUAUUGGAAACGAUAGCUAAUACCGCAUAAGAGUAGAUGUUGCAUGACAUUUGCUUAAAAUGUGCAAUUGCAUCACUACCAGAUGGACCUGCGUUGUAUUAGCUAGUUGGUGGGGUAACGGCUCACCAAGGCGACGAUACAUAGCCGACCUGAGAGGGUGAUCGGCCAAACUGGGACUGGGACACGGCCCAGAAUCCUACGGGAGGCAGCAGUAGGGAAUCUUCGGCAAUGGACGGAAGUCUGACCGAGCAACGACGCGUGGGUGAAGAAGGUUUUCGGAUCGUAAAGCUCUGUUGUAAGAGAAGAACGAGUGUGAGAGUGGAAAGUUCACGCUGUGACGGUAUCUUACCAGAAAGGGACGGCUAACUACGUG